GCUAGGUUUGACAACUUCUGGUAUUAUCAAUUCUGACGUAAUAAAUGGUGGCCUUUCCCAAAUUUCAGAAAACUUAUGGCCAUUUUGCUAAUAAAUUUUCGAAGUGGCCUUCCAGCAAAAGUGCCCCAACAAACAAAACACCGGUAUACAACCAAAAAAAAAAAAAAAGAAAAAAAAGAAAAAAAGAGAAGCAAAAGCCAAGAUAGAUCUAUUUUUUGAUUUGCAGUAUUGAUUGUGAAUAAUGGCGAAGGUGGAGUUAAACAAAGAGACAAAGAAGGCUGUGAAUAGAAAUCACGGUUCCACCAAAUUCUUUGUAUUUGUUGAUUAUCUUUUCCUCUUUCUAUUCUUCUGUUUCCUCUCUUACAUUCUCUUCAAAAUGCUCGGACUUUGAGGUUAAUGAUAAUCUAUAUCCAGAUCAAGAGAUUGCAAGCUCUUAUGACACAGCUGCUGGUUUACGGCAGUUUAAGGAUUGUUUUCAUCUUGGACUGAGAUAUCUAGAAGGAAUGAAGUCUUUGCACUGGUGAUAUGUGUCAAAUUCUUCUGUGCCACAUGACUUACCUAAUUGAUGUACUUAUAUAUAAUAUACAUAUAACAUUGGGUUAGUUUUUUGGAUGUGCCUGAUCACACAAAUUACAUGUGCAUAACACUGAAAUUCUGAUGCUCAAUUGACAGCUACUAGUAUCUCCUUUACUGAUCUGAAA